AAUGUCGACUCCCCACUGAGCGAAGGGCCACGGAGCGACAAUGGGAGCGAUUUGGCUGGCCGGUUGGUGCUGAAUAUUGGCAUACUUUUGGCAUGGCUCGCACCUCCGGACCAACUCUGCCGCAUCCUUCUUCAUGGUCGGCCAGUAGUAGCCUUGUCGCAAGACCUUGAAGGCUAAGGAUUUGCCCCCCAAGUGGUUCCCACAAAUUCCUUCGUGAACCUCUCGGAGAGCGUAGUCGGCG
rnacentral:lncRNA from 1 species